UCUAACGUCAAUAGCAUUUGAAGGGAAUGACUUAUGUGAUGCCUACAAAUGUAUUUUCACAAUUGUUGAGUUGUUUUGUGUAUUGGCCUGUAUGAAAGGAACAAUUUGAACGUAUUUUUGCAAUGGAUUUGAGGGUGCAGUUGCUUGAUUAUGCCACAAGGGGCGUGUUCAUUUAUGUGAGUGCUAGUAGGGCUGUGCGAUGCGUCCACUUCUCAGACAGAGAACAGCCUGCUGAGCGAUCACAAGUAACAUCUCCUGUGUCUGAUUUUCCUGUACAAAACAGUGUAUGUAUUUCAUUUCGGUGUUUUGCUGAGACGACAUGAGAGCUUGUGAGUCUCUGGAGUGAAAGCGGAGCGGUUAGUGUAGUGACACCUGGGUCAGCUCUGUCUACACGCUUCUCCGUCGUGACUGAGAACGAAGGGACGAAGAAGAAGAAGAAGAAGAAGAAGAAGAAGAAGAAGGAGAAGAACGGGAUUAAAAACGAGCGUUAAUAUUUGUAGAAAUUCUCCGAAAGGCCGUUCCGCUUGAGGGUUUUGGAGUUUGAAGGGGAUGUGUUCAAGGCAAGAGAGAAUUCAAAAAGACGUCGACAUCGUUAUACAGAGGUGCCAGGCGGAGAAAGACUGCCUUUUCUCGGAUUUUCUAUUCACCGACGCCACCUUCACGUUUACCUACUCGAAAGGGUCGAAAAGUGUGUCCUACUCUGUACAUGUCUCUGAUGAUUAUCCAGACAACACAUACGUCUCAAACUCUGAAAACAACGAUGAUGUAUUAGUCACAAGAGAUCCAAUACCAGUUAUUUUCCAUAGAAUUGCAACAGAGAUAAGGACAGCUAACGAUGACAGCUGUUUUUCCAUCAAGUCAAAGCUUCAGAUUGACAAAAACCCGUACCAUUACACCGUAGAAGAGGAUUCAGAAGGAGAUAAUGACUCUGAAGAGUUCUACUAUGGUGGUCAGCAGGUGAAUUAUGAUGGGGAACUUCACAAACACCCACAGCUGGAGGCUGACCUGGUAGCCGUGAGGGAGUUAUAUGGCCAUCAUGCAGUAUCUCUCAGGGAAUAUGGUGCAAUUGAUGAUGUAGACAUUGAUCUACACAUUGAUGUCAGUUUCCUCGAUGAGGAAAUUGCCCUUGCCUGGGAUGUGAUCAGGACCGAACCUGUUAUUGUACGUCUUCACUGCUCACUUACGCAGUAUCUAAAUGGACCAGUUCCCACCGUUGACGUAUUUCAAGUGUCCACAAAAGACAGGUUCGGCCUGGGACAUCAACUGAAAAAGAUAAUGCAGACCUUUGUCACACAGCAGUGGAAGCAUCAAACUAAAGACAAGCUUAACUGCCCACAUAGCAAAAAACAGACGGAUAAGAAGGUGAAGUCUCCGCUGCACAUCUUCUCAACCCUCCGCAGGUCCCCCAGCUAUCCCCCUCCCGGCUGCACAAAGAACAAAAAGAAACUCAAGCACGAGCAGGAUGGUGUGUCCAAAUCGCAUCGCCUCUUGCGCCGUACUUGUUCGAGCGCAGUGAAGCCCGAGGUGGACGGCUGUGCCGGAAAGCCACGCAAACUCCUGGGCCCUUCACUGUCAGAGCAGACGCCUAGCCUCAAACCACCUCAGAAUCUCUUGCCAAGGCCUGAAGAAAGCGUGAUGUCACGGUCUCACAAACUCCUGCCACGCUCUGGUGAGCCUCGGUGUGAACGUAGCACAGGCAGCGACAGUAAUAGCGUUCUGAAGCAUCACCGGCUCCUUCACCGCACCGAUGAGCUGGACGGUCUCAAACACCAACACCGGCUCCUCAGCAGGUCCUGCUCCAGCAGUGCCAAGAUGACCAAAAGUGAGCCGCUCAAGGAGCCGUCUGGAGAUAGCCGUCGCCUCUCGCUCUCCUCAGGACUCAUAGGCAUCCUGGCCCCGGCACUCUCUCCCUCACCACCGCCAAACAACGGAGCCAAGUCUAUUCCAGUCAGAGACCAUGGCUUUCUCAUCCAGACAAUGGAGUACGCAGAGCAGAGGAUCCCAGUCCUGAACGAAUUCUGUGUGGUCUGUGAUGAACCUCAUGUGUUUCAAAAUGGACCAAUGCUCAGGCCCACAGUGUGUGAGAGAGAGUUGUGUGUCUUUGCCUUCCAAACACUAGGAGUAAUGAAUGAGGCUGCUGAUGAGAUCGCCACAGGUGCCCAGGUUGUUGACUUGCUGGUCUCCAUGUGUCGCUCUGCAUUGGAAUCACCGAGAAAAGUAGUCAUUUUUGAGCCAUAUCCCUCAGUGGUAGAUCCCAGUGACUCGCAGUCCUUGGCCUUCAACCCAAGGAAAAAAGACUAUGAUCGGGUAAUGAGAGCUCUUGAUAGCCUCACGUCUAUCAGAGAAAUGACCCAGGCAUCAUAUUUGGAGAUAAAGAAGCAGAUGGACAGAAUUGACCCCCUGGCUCACCCUCUAUUGCAAUGGGUCAUAUCCAGUAACAGGUCUCACAUAGUGAAGCUACCAGUGACCAGACAACUAAAAUUUAUGCACACCCCACACCAGUUCCUCUUACUCAGCAGCCCACCGGCCAAAGAAUCCAACUUUAGAGCUGCCAAAGGCCACUUUGGGAGUACCUUCGCUUUCCAUGGAUCACACAUAGAGAACUGGCACUCCAUUUUGAGGAAUGGUUUGGUUGUGGCCUCCAAGACAAAACUCCAGCUCCAUGGCGCCAUCUAUGGGAAUGGAAUUUAUCUCAGCCCACUGUCAAGCAUAUCCUUUGGUUACUCAGGGAUGAACAAAAAGCAGCAGAAAGUUGCGGCAAAAGACGAAACUGCUACGAACAAGACCAGUAUUCAUCUGCAGUCACAGAAAAAAGGUCAGCAGCCACAGUUUCUGCAGAGUCGCAAUCUGAAAUGCAUAGCCUUAUGUGAAGUUAUUACUUCGCCGCACCUUCACAAGCAUGGCGACAUCUGGGUAGUCCCAAACACUGAUCAUGUCUGCACACGAUUUUUCUUUGUGGUGUCCCCCGCCUUGUGGCCCGAGUUCCCUGGGAUAGGCUCCAGGCUCCCCCACGACCCUGAGUAGGAUAAGCAGUAUGGAAAAUGGAUGGGUGGAUGGAUGGUAUGUCACUAUAGGAACUUAAUGUCACAUCGAACCUGCAUUCCACAUUUUUCCCCUAUAAUGAUUGUAAUUAGAUUUCUAAACGAAGACUUAUCAAAUGAUUUAUUAACUAAUGCAACUUUAUGAACUAAUGAAUUACACUUUUUCUUUUUGUAGUUACAUUUAACGUUGUGGAACAUCCACAAACAAGUUGGUCUUGUCAUCACUUACAUUUUAGCAGCUAUAAACAGUAGUUCCCUCACCAACCUCUCCUUUUCUUUCUCUUAAAGGUAAUAAGAUUAAAAACAAACAAACAAACAAAAACCUGGCGCUUGUAAUGUUACAGAAAAAGAAAACAUAAAGUCCUCUGUCGUGACAACAUUCCCAUAGCAGAAAACUUCCUGAAUGUUACAAAGUGCUGACACCAGAGAGGCCUUACAUAACUGUUAAAUAAACAUCUUAGCUAUGAGGAUGGACAGGUGGGCGACACAAACAUCAACACGCAAGACCCCAGCAUCCAUCGAGAGAUCUUACGAGUCAUCGGCAACCAAACAGCCACAGGAUGAACGAC